UCACACCUUACUUGAGUAAUAAGAAUUCAGGACGAUCUUUGCCAAUAGAGGAGGACCGUUCUUCAGUCAAGGGUAUAUGAGUAGCUGCGCACCCCUGCUAGAACCUCCAAAAAGUUCUCAAGAAUUCAAAGAUGAAUCAAAGCUAUUACCCUUGAAAAAUUUAAAGAUGGGCUGGGGAAAGGC
rnacentral:sRNA from 1 species